AGUUUUAAAGCUUUCUUAAGAAAUAUAGCAUUUAUUUCAAGAUAUCUAGAAAAAAUUUGUUUUGUUGUCCAACGAUCUGGAGGCAUGUCGCUUUAAUCAUAAACAUCGGAUAUUUCAGAUAAAGAAGGCAGGGCAAGAAAUGGCUGUCCACAGUCUGGACAAGAAAUGAGCAUGCAUUGAUGGAACAUUAUUUACUAUGAUUUAGUUCCCAGAUAAAGAAGGCAGGGCAAGAAAUGGCUGUCCACACUCUGGACAAAAAAUGAGCAUGCUUUAAUGGAACAUCAUUUAGUUCCCAGGAUCAAAUUUGAUGUGGGAUGAUUCAAAACAAAUCUUCAAAUUGACAAUGGCAAAAAGCAAGUGGAAAUGAUACUCCAGUUGAUGAAAAUAGUCUGCUCAGCUCUGCAAAGCCAUCGACUUGAAUACAUUGGUUAUUUUCCUUGUACCAACAAUAUGGAAAUAAAGUUUGUUUAUAAAUU
rnacentral:lncRNA from 1 species